CUUGAUUUGGACACUAUUUUGUCUAUGAAUUUGAAUUUGAAAAUUAAAAAAACAAUGUAUUUGAAACGUGUAUUGCAAACAAGUAUUAAAAUAAUAGAGCACCUAUAGCAGUUCAUCAUUAGACAAAUAGAAUCCUGAUAUUCCUUGAAGUGCGUCGAAAAAUCGAGAACUGGCAAGCCCGUGACCAACUCCGAGAUGA
rnacentral:lncRNA from 1 species